AUGACUGCCACGGGUCAGCCAGUCAGACUGGCUGCCGAGCAAAACUCCAUCUCAAAAAAAAGAGAGAGACAAUCUUCUCUCUGCUCGCGUGGCAGACUCGCAAGGGCGCCACAGAAAGACAAGAAGCCCAAGAAGUCAACCUGGAAGUUUAAUUUGGACCUUACUCAUCCAGUAGAAGAUGGAAUUUUUGAUUCUGGAAAUUUUGAACAAUUUCUAUGGGAGAAGGUUAAAGUCAAUGACAAAACUGGAUAUCUCGGGAAUGUUGUUCACACUGAAUGCUUCAAGAAUAAAAUCACAUUCUUUCUCAGAAACAGUUCUCUAAAAGGUAUUUGAAAUACCUUACCAAGAAAUACCUUAAGAAGAGCAAUCUUCAUGAUUGGCUUCGAGUGGUUGCAUCUGACAGAAGACUUACGAACUUCAUUACUUCCAGAUUAGUCAAGAAGAUGAAUCAGAGUUGGAGGACUAG